rnacentral:rRNA from 1 species
CAAUAGCGUAUAUUAAAGUUGUUGCAGUUAAAAAGCUCGUAGUUGGAUUUGUGGCUGUCACGGGCGGCCUAUCACUUAGUGUUAGUGCUUGCCUGUGUCGCCAUCCUUGGGUGGAGCCCGUGUGGCAUUAGGUUGUCGUGCGGGGGAUGCCCAUCGUUUACUGUGAGAAAAUUAGAGUGUUCAAAGCAGGCUUAUGCCAUUGAAUAUGUUAGCAUGGAAUAAUAAGAUAGGACCUCGGUACUAUUUUGUUGGUUUGCGCACCGAGGUAAUGAUUAAUAGAGACAGUUGGGGGUAUUCGUAUUUCAUUGUCAGAGGUGAAAUUCUUGGAUUUCUGAAAGACGAACUACUGCGAAAGCAUUUACCAAGGAUGUUUUCAUUAA